rnacentral:rRNA from 1 species
GACGAACGCUGGCGGCGUGCCUAACACAUGCAAGUCGAACGAUGAAGCCUAGCUCGCUCGGUGGUGUCGUGGCGAACGGGCGAGUAAUUCGUGAGUGGCCUACCUUUCACUCUGGGUUAAGCCACGUCAACAGGGCCUAAUACCGGAUACGACCUAUCUCCGCAUGGGGUGUUGGUGGAAGGCGUACUGGUGUGGUUUUAGCUGGGCUCACGGCCUAUCAGCUUGAUGGUGAGGUAAUGGUUUACGAAGGCGACGACGGAUAGCCGGCCUGGGAGGGUGAACGGCCACACUGGGACUACGGCACGGCGCAGAAUCCUACGGGAGGCAGCGGGGGAGAACAUUACACAAUGGGCGCAAGUCAGAUACAGAGGCGCCGCGUGAGUGAUGACGGCCUACGGGUUAUAAACCACUGUGAGCAUCGAAGAAGAGAAAGUGACGGUAGCUGCAGAGAAAGCGCCGGCUAACUACGUG